rnacentral:ncRNA from 1 species
GAAAGACCGGAGUUUUCCGGUUGGGUUUUAUUCAAAACCCCAAUCAACUAGU